UACGUAGGGUCCGAGCGUUUAAUCGGAAUUACUGGGCGUAAAGCGUGCGCAGGCGGUUUUGUAAGCCAGAUGUGAAAGCCCCGGGCUUAACCUGGGAAUGGCAUUUGGGACUGCAAGGCUGGAGUACGGCAGAGGGAGGUGGAAUUCCAGGUGUAGCAGUGAAAUGACGUAGAUAUCUGGAGGAACACCGAUGGCGAAGGCAGCCUCCUGGGCUAGUACUGACGCUCAUGCACGAAAGCGUGGGGAGCAAACAGG
rnacentral:rRNA from 1 species